ACUCCUACGGGAGGCAGCAGUGGGAAUAUUGGACAAUGGGGAACCGUAGCAUCCAGCCAUGCCGCGUGUGUGAAGAAGGCCUUCGGGUUGUAAAGCACUUUCAGUGGGAGGAAAGGAUUGUUGGUUAAUACCUAACAGCUGUGACGUUACCCACAGAAGAAGCACCGGCUAACUCCGUGCCAGCAGCCGCGGUAAUACGGAGGGUGCAAGCGUUAAUCGGAAUUACUGGGCGUAAAGCGUGCGCAGGCGGUCUGUUAAGCGAGAUGUGAAAGCCCGGC
rnacentral:rRNA from 1 species